GACGAACGCUGGCGGCGUGCUUAACACAUGCAAGUCGAACGGAAAGGCCUGUCCUUCCUUGUGUUGGACGGGUACUCGAGUGGCGAACGGGUGAGUAACACGUGAGUGAUCUGCCCCCAACUUGGGUAUAAGCCUGGGAAACUGGGUCUAAUUCCCGAUAGGACUGCAGGGUGGUGCCUGUGGUGGAAAACGAUUUUCUAGUGGUUGGGGAUGAGCUCGCGGCCUAUCAGCUUGUUGGUGGGGUAAUGGCCUACCAAGGCGGCGACGGGUAGCCGGCCUGAGAGGGUGGACGGCCACAUUGGGACUGAGAUACGGCCCAGACUCCUACGGGAGGCAGCAGUGGGGAAUAUUGCACAAUGGGCGGAAGCCUGAUGCAGCGACGCCGCGUGGGGGAUGACGGCCUUCGGGUUGUAAACUCCUCUCGACCGCGAGGAAGCCGCCUGGUUGGAAGGGUGGUGACGGUAGUGGUAGAAGAAGCACCGGCUAACUACGUG
rnacentral:rRNA from 1 species